CAAUGAAGGAAACAUGGUAAUGUGCACAUAAAUUGAAUUAGGUCUCUAGACCUGCCCUAUCUGAUGUCAUUUGGCUUUGAUUUAGGGGCAUGAUUCCGCAGUAAAACA